rnacentral:rRNA from 1 species
AGAGUUUGAUCCUGGCUCAGAAUCAACGCUGGCGGCGUGCCUAACACAUGCAAGUCGCACGAGAAAGGGUAGCAAUACCCGAGUACAGUGGCGCACGGGUGAGUAACACGUGGAUCAUCUACCUCUUUGUGGGGGAUAACUCUGGGAAACCGGAGCUAAUACCGCAUAAGCUCGAGAGAGGAAAGCAGCAAUGCGCAGAGAGAGGAGUCCGCGGCCGAUUAGCUAGUUGGCGGGGUAAUGGCCCACCAAGGCGAUGAUCGGUAGCCGGCCUGAGAGGGCACACGGCCACACUGGCACUGAAACACGGGCCAGACUCCUACGGGAGGCAGCAGUGGGGAAUCUUGCACAAUGGGGGCAACCCUGAUGCAGCGACGCCGCGUGAGCGAUGAAGCCCUUCGGGGUGUAAAGCUCUUUCGGCAGGGACGAUAAUGACGGUACCUGAAGAAGAAGCUGCGGCUAACUACGUGCCAGCAGCCGCGGUAAUACGUAGGCAGCAAGCGUUGUUCGGAAUUACUGGGCGUAAAGAGUGUGUAGGCGGUUUUCUAAGUUUGGUGUGAAAUCUCCCGGCUUAACUGGGGAGGGUGCGCCGAAAACUGGAAGGCUUGAGUGUCGGAGAGGAUAGCGGAAUUCCCCGUGUAGCGGUGAAAUGCGUAGAUAUCGGGAGGAACACCUGCGGUGUAGACGGCUAUCUGGACGACCACUGACGCUGAGACACGAAAGCGUGGGUAGCAAACAGGAUUAGAUACCCUAGUAGUCC